UUCCGCUGUACAUAAUCGUGGAAAGCUGGGAAACGGAAGCGACGUCGGCGCGACGUCGGCGCAACGUCACGCAUACGGGAAGAGCACUCGACGAAGAAGUUGAGGAAAAGAGUGUGCCGAUCGCGGCGUCGAGAUUUCGAUCCGUUCAAUGUCAAAGCCUGGCAUCAUCAUCCAGUGCACCUUUUACUGCGCAUCGGCAGAUGCAGCAGCGUGUAGCGUAGUGGUUCGUCAAAGCCUCUGCUCGCGAGUUAGUCAUCGACUGGCGGAGAUCCGAUCGUGCAUACAGCCGCGAUUGAGGACUAUUAAACGGAUGACCUUUCACUACCUAGAAGAUCUACAUACACCUACGUACGGGAGCAUACGCGGCCGCGAGGUACCCGCGUGCAUUCGUGUUACGCAAUCACGAUCGUUCUUCUCUCCCUCUUCCUCUCUUUUCCGCUAAUUCUCUCCGCCUCUCUCUCUCUCUCCCUCGCCCUCUCCAUCACCAGUUAGACACGCACGCUGUUCCAGCGUUUCGGAUCCGAAGGGCAAGUCUACCGACGAUUCGCCGUUUUAAUCCAUUUACGCUUCUUUCGGGCAGAAUUAGACGUGCCGAACGCCAGCGUACUUCCGUUAUUCCACGCUGUUCCCAGUUUUAAUUCGUCGUAUAAUCUCCGUUUCACCCUACCACGGCCAUCGAAUGUGAAAAUAUUUCAAAACUAUCGUAAGAGUAUCUGUAACGAACGAGCUCUCUUCGACACUUUCCCAAUGUUAAAUAACGUUCGAAUCUAUAUUCCGAUAUCGAUCAAAUAUAGAAAUAGUUUCCGAACGUUUAUUAGUUUCCACCAAGGAACACGAUGUCAUGGAAUUUACAGCUUCUUGUUGUUUGUAAAGGUAGAACGAACUACGAACGAAAGUAGACAAGUUUGAGAGUAGAGCGUUCGAAUGAACUCUAGACGGUAUUUUAAGUAAUAAAUACUGUAUCAAUUGGCAAUAUACAAAAUGAGUAGUAACGAUCGAUGGUAACGUCGCAAUUACGCCUCAUUGUUACACUGUACAGCGACGGUAUUGGCUGGAAUGGAAUUUUACAAGAACGCAUCGGAAUGCACCGAUAUGCGCGUUAUUUUUCUGCAGCCAGCCAUUCGCUAGGAACCGCUUUUAUUUGGUUGCACUUACACUCGCUACCUUGUAAUCGCCUUGCAGGCAUAUUUUAAUAAAGCCAAGAUCGCUGCUUUUGGCUCGGCCUUGCUGCCGCGUAUAAAUGAGUCAGGCGGAAACGAGAAACGUCAAGUGAUGACCAACGUUUCGCGAGAAGUAGAGCCCCGUGCUCUCUAUGCAAUUUCAUAUUUGUUUCAAGAUGAGCGUGCUUCCUCGGAAUAAAUCGGCCAAUCACGACGAUCUAAAUACCGUCGAUCCGUUAUAUCGGGAGGCUGCUUCCGCAAUUUUUAUGCGUUCGAUUUAAAUUCGUUUUGUACUAUUCUAACAGGCGAAAGUGCAAUUUUACAUUUUAGUAGUUGGUAUUCUCAUAAAAAUAGCCCGAUUCGCGCAAUGAUUCACAUUACGUAAUCCUAUUUUCAUAAAUUUACUCCAAUUCUGUUUACUAUGGUUCAAGUUUACCGCGUCUGCGAUAGAUUCGAUAUGUUUUCGCCGUUUGAAGGAAUUUUUAUAAAUGUACGAUACAUCAAUAAAAUGAUUCCAUGCGUAAAACUUUCCGAAGCUCUUUAAACUCGGCGAGACUUUCAUCGGUAUAGUUAGCUCUAGCCGAUACAAUUGCAACAUAGCGUAGCCUUGAAUAAUUAUUCUCGACGCCUUGUUACGAUUGUGAAUCGGAAAUCGACGCACCGAGCCCCAUCGUUGUUAUCGUUCGACGAGAAAAAUUGCUAGAUAGGUCGACGAUUAACGCGAUCGAGAGAAGCGAAGGAAAUUCAAAGCGGAUAGGUGAUCCGAAGCGUUGGUCGAUUAUUCGUUUGUUUAUUCACGCUUGGUCAGUCGUGACGGCACUGUAGCCGCAGUUAACGAUGACUUCCGACACGUUACGUCGACUUUUCAAAAUGUUACGCAAUCGCGCGCGUUGCGGCUGAUCGUCGUGCUACCUGCGAAUCCUAUUAUAGGCGCCGCUGUUGCAUCCAUUUGCCUUCGUGCUGUUUGAAAAUUCUAUGCAAAUUUCAUUCUCCGUCAACCUCUAUCUGCAUACAGUGGUUUAAAGGAAAACAUUCGCUUCCGUGAAUCAGCCUUAUUUCUCUGCUUAUCGAAAUUUCGUUUUUCAUCCUUUUGCUAUCUACGUCGAACUUUGAUGUCACUCGGUCGUAUCGAAUCGCGCGCUAUCUCUCCUACGCAAGUAGCAAUUACCGUUAAUCUGUUCCAUUCCGCGGGCUUUCUAACUACGUCAUUCGGGAAUUUCGGCUUCAAAAGCGAGACGCACCGACGGCAUAUUGGACAAACGGUGCGUCGAUCGCUUUGGUUCAGUUUCCGCCGAGCCGAAAGAAAUCGACCGAUCCCCCUUUCCCUCGAAAUUCUAGCAUAGUAAAGAACUAUCCGCUGGAACAACACGAUCUAGCGUCCGCUAGAGCGGCAUGUGCCGUGCUACACGAUACUUUUAUGCGCGUCCACACCGCCGUCGACUGGACACUUACGUAAUCGCAAUGAUCUCACACUGUGGGUGGGGACUUGUCGCUAACGCGUGUGCCUUUGAGGCCGUAUUGGUCUGCCACCUGAGCGUGUGUGCGCGCACACGCGUUCCGUCCCUGUACAGCAGAAGCGUACACCGUGUCCGAAAAGUCUGCACCAUGUGGAAAGCCGUUUGCAUUGUUUGCCCGAGAUAAGAGCGAGAGAAGAAGAGCGAGAGAAGAGCGAGAGAUGGCCGGCUUUCCAGCCCCGAAAAGAUACUCUUGAAAACGGAAGAUAGGUCGCGUUGAUACCGCGUUUAUCUUCUCUAGUCGGAGUCGAGUAAGUCUCGUUGUAGUCCGAUAUCGCGCAACCAGUAGCAUUGUUCGGCCGAUGCGAACGCGGCGAGAUUAUUUCCGAAACGCAACGCGGGGCUAUUUCAAUUUUUCCGAACGUUCUAUCUGGGUCGCUGCGUUGGUUCGAUGGAAAUCGACCCCGUGCUUUUAUCGCUUACGAUUAUCUAAUCCGACACCUCGACACCUUGCAAUUACCUUUGCCGCGUUCUGCCCCUGUUCCAUCUGACAACUGGUUCCGCAGGAAAACGCUACUAGCUUAACGAAGCGAUUAUUCGUUCGUAACUUUUCCUUCAUUCUCUCCCGAUUCUCUCUCGAUUCUCUCUCGAUUCUCUCUCUCGACCGUUUCGAAUCGAACGGCCACCGGACACGGUUAAGAUAACCAGGAAACGUUAAACGCCACGCAACAGGACGAAACGGGGCGAAAUUCGGUAUGUAUGUAGGUCGGUCGUUCCGCGACGCGACGUAACAAGCUCCGGGGAUGAUUAGCGUGUCACAAGAGGGAGACUACGAUUGCGAGAUCGUUUGAGAGUAACAAUGGCGAAGGAGAAAUUACGCUGUCAGUUGGAUGUACACGAGCAGCGAGAGGCACGUAAGCGAGCAUGUGGGGCUGUGACGUUCAACCUCAAAGCCAAAGGAAUUUGCGCACUCACGAGACCCGAGCACGGUAGCCUGAUCCUAAAGACUUGCAGUGUGACUGGCACCUCUCCCCUAGCCGACACGUUCACUCUGGGAGGAAGCAGUGCCAUCAUUCCGGAAACACCGCCCGGAACACCGACUACGUCGUAAUCCAAUUCCAUCGAGUACGGUAACUGACAAUUGCAUCCCUGGAUAAUCGAGGGAAAGCAUCUUUACGUAAUCUGCAGAAGCUCCUUUCAUUCCUGCAAUAUGUUUUAAUUAUACGGUCAAAUUGGCUUGCCCAUUCCAUUUUUUCUAUCGAAGAAUAAGAAGAUAAGUUAAUCUCACAAAUGCUCCGGUAAAAUUUCGUUGAGUCAGAGAUUCGAUGCAACGUCCAGGGAUAGAGAUCUUGAUAGAGACGAGAACGAUAGUCGAUCAACUGAGUUCAGUUACGUUCGUUUGCUUGAUAUCCACUUCAGGAUCCUCGUAAUAACGUAAAAACGUUUACUUAGGAAAUGUCUGCUUUCAUUCAGGGCCUGUUAACUCCGGCACGCAGAUUUCGAAUCAGCUACCACGAACACUUGAACCGCUUUCCAGCCACGCACGGCUUCGUGUAUACUUCAUUGUGUACGGAACAAACCUCCGUUCCACGUGAAUCCGUACACCGUACAUUAUAGGCAUUGUUGGCGACGACGAAAAGGACGCCGUGUACGCUACACUAUCCUGCCCCGUGACAACAUCAACAAAACACAUGCACCUCCUGAUGGAUGCGGACUUCUCCAUUUGAAUAUUUCGAAAUUGUUUUGGUGAUUUCGUUAUCGGUCACCGUUUGAACAAAAGAAUACACAGUACUCUAUGCGAGAAUUCGAACGUUUACAGUGGUGUACAAAAGUACCUGGCCAGAUAGAUUUUACAUUUUAUAUUUCAAAAGCAGUGUAUAAAAGGAUUUUACGGAUAGAAGAGAUAAAAAAAUCGUCAAACAUCGAGCGAUAACCAAACAUACGAAUAAUAGGAAAUUUUUAUUCGAGAAUUUAGUUUCGAAUAACAUAUAUCUCACUCGUUAUAUUUCCAUUUAGCUUUUAUCUGCCUUUAUCGUUUAUCGUUGUCUCUCCUCGUCAUUUUGUAGCGUCUGAAUAUUACAUAAUUGACCGAUUAGAAAUAAUUUUAGGUGAUAACAUUGUUGCGUGGUCACACAUGAUAUUAGUUAAAUUUCUUUGAAAUAUCGUUUUUGUAACACAAAAUGAAAAAUCUAUCUGACCAAAAACUUAACUUAGCUUAAGCCUAUCCAUUGCACGUACGCACUGUAUCGAUAUAAAGAUGUAUGAAAUAUAUUUGCCUCGUUUUUACAUUUAUUACACAACGCCCACAAUCUCGCGGUAUGUUUUGGGGUUAGGUUGGGGUUAGGUUUGGGCAGUGAAAAGGUGAAAUAAUAACGGAAGGAUGUUACGAUUUAUCGAUCGUGAUAAAUUUGUGAAAGUUUUAAAAUGAUAUAUAAUUAUUGGAAUAAAAUCGAUAAAGAAUCGAGAAAAAAUAAUGUAAAACAAUUUUUUUGUAUAAUUUAUGCGUUUGUUCCCUUCGAUCUGAAGAGAAGCGUAUUUCAAAAGGAAAUGUAAUACAUAAUCGUACCAGCGUUAUACUUAUGAAAAGUUGCAUUCAAAUAUGAUAUAAGCAAUAAUACGCUACUGCUUUAAGGAUUACACGAUCGUAUUUAUGUAUAAUGGAUCGACAUCAAAGAUUUUAAACGAAUCAAAGGUAUUAUCGACAUUUUAAAUCGAAUCGCCGAUUAUUCGCGUCCUUUGUGCUAUUCCGGUGAACGAAGCGAAUUGGUUGAUUCCGAGCGAUGUAUUUACGUGCGUGCCAUGGAGUGUGGGUGAUGAAAAGUGUGCAACCAUGCAAAAACUGCGCUGAUAAAUGCGGCAUGUAACGCGGGGAAAAAGAUUACCGAUGAUUGCUGUUUUGAUGAUUAAUCGGCACGCAUGGUUUACAAUCUGUAUUUCAAUGUUUUCAGAUAGACACCUAUAAUCAAUUAUAUCGUGUUUCCUGAAUGUAAUGUAAUGCUUUGAUGCAAUUUAAAAUAGAAUAAUUUAUAAUAUAAAGCCAUGAAAAUCCAACAAUCGAUCGAGGUGUCAUUGAUAUAACGUGCAAAAACAAUAAAUAUUUCUAUGUACAUAGUACAAAUACAUUAGGU